AGUUACCACGGCGAGCGGCUGGCUGGCUGCAGUGUUUUGGUCAGCACUGGUCAAUCUUGCCCUACACGCUCUAUUAACCAGUGUUUCCGUCAGUCGUGAAGAGAGAGAGAGAGAGAGAGAGAGAGAGAGAGAGAGAGAGAGAGAGAGAGAGAGAGAGAGAGAGAGAGAGAGAGAGUAGGAGCAUUUCAGUUGAGCCUAUUCUGCCCUGGUUCGUGUUUGCUGCGGUGACACGGUGCCGCACUGAGUGAAGAUUGCGUUCAUAAUCACUUAUCGGGGGUGGAGUGGGGAAAGGAGAGUCAGAAAGUGAGGAUAUUUAUAUUAUUUGACAUAUUAUUUGAUAGCAUGUCAACUUUUUUUUUUUUUGUGUGUGUGUGUGUGUGUGUGGGUGGGUGUUGGAUCAGUGACAGGUGGCGCUGGGGGGUUACCACGGCGAGCGGCUGGCUGGCUGCAGUGUUUUGGUCAGCACUGGUCAAUCUUGCCCUACACGCUCUAUUAACCAGUGUUUCCGUCUUCCCGACACCUUCCUGCACCAAGCACCGUCAAGCAUCACCAGAGAGGCACGAGUACGUAAGCUAUCCAACAUCAGAACAGUAUAUGAAUAUGGCAAAUGCUGUUUUGACAUCAUUUCCUGCCAUCCUGAGAAACAGUGAUCUCGAGGAGCAUGAAUUGCAGCUGCAAUGGAAAUUGCGCAUCCAGCACAAGUUUCAGAAUUCAAGAAAGAGGCAGGAUUCCUCAGUGACUGAGGUGAUGUCAAGGAAAAAGAAGAUCCCUUGCAUAGCGCCAAAAGAGACUACGUGUCCACUGAUGUAUGGAGUAAAGGCUUACCUUCCACCAAGGCCCCAUUCAGAAGAUGAUAAGUCAUUAGAGAGACAUAGACAGUGGCCUGCUCUACAUUGGAUGAAGAAAGAUCC